rnacentral:rRNA from 1 species
ACACAUGCAAGCCGAGGGGUAAGUCUCUUUCGGGAGAACACGACCGGCGCACGGGUGAGUAACGCGUAUGCAACCUACCUUUGGCACGGGGACAGCCCGGGGAAACCCGGAUUAGUACCCGGUAUAGUCUGUUAUACACCUGUAUAAAAGACGAGAGCUACGGCGGCCAAAGAUGGGCAUGCGUGCCAUUAGUUAGUUGGUAGGGUAAGGGCCUACCAAGGCAUCGAUGGCUACGGGGUCUAAAAGGAUGAGCCCGCACACUGGUACUGAGACACGGACCAGACUCCUACGGGAGGCAGCAGUGAGGAAUAUCGGUCAAUGGGUGGAAGCCUGAACCAGCCAUGCCGCGUGCAGGAAGACGGCCUUAUGGGUUGUAAACUGCUUUUCUACGGGACGAACGGCUCUGACGCGUCAGGGAUUGACGGUACCGUAGGAAUAAGCAUCGGCUAACUCCGUGCCAGCAGCCGCGGUAAUACGGAGGAUGCGAGCGUUAUCCGGAUUUAUUAGGUUUAAAGGGUGCGUAGGCUGGGCAAUAAGUCAGUGGUGAAAGUCCGCGGCUCAACCGUGGGAUUGCCAUUGAAACUGUUGUUCUUGAGUACAGUCGAGGUAGGCGGAAUGUGUAAUGUAGCGGUGAAAUGCCAUAGAUAUUACCCAGAACACCGACUGCGUAGGCAGCUUACCAGCCUGGAACUGACGCUGAUGCACGAAAGCGUGGGGAGCGAACAGGAUUAGAUACCCUGGUAGUCCACGCCGU